GAGUUUUAGAAUGUUAUAGGAGCUCUUUGAGUCCAGCAGUGGCUGAAGGGCUGAUAUGUACUCAGAACUGGUUGAAGCCAGCUCGUACAUAUUUCAAAGACAUCAAUUACAUAGAAGAGUUUGGGAUAACUGAGGAAAUCAUAUCAGAAUUUCAACAAUGCUUCAUAACCGCAAAUAUUGGGGCUGCUGGAGCUGGAGCAGCAGUUGGAGGUGCUACUGGUGCUGCUGUAGGUUCUACUCAAACACAACCAAUAGGUUGUGAUUGAGAAAUAUGAUGCUUCUAAUUUUUUUGAAAUCAUUUUGAUAUUUUGGAGUCAUAUAUGACUUGUACAUCUUGGCACAACACAUAAUUAUAUUUUGUAAGCCUUUUUUGGGAGGUCAAAUUUUCUGUGAUGAAUCUUGGCACUCACUCAAGCUUCAAUGAAAUUAGAUUAAGAUGUUUUGCUUGUUGGAAUUUGGCAUUUUGUUUUCAAAUGUUUGGCUUGCUUACUAUGAGACUGCUCAUUUGUCAAAGAGUUGUGAAUUGAAAGCCACAAAACUCUAUAACAGUAAGUAACGGUUCCAAGCAACAUUAAAUUUCCAUGUAGUUGUGAUUGAGGGUCAAGCUCUAGAAUAGGCAUUGCUGAGUUGAACCAUGGGAAAGUGAAUGCUCAAUAGAUUUAAUUGGUGUACAAACAAUAGGUUCCGUUGAUAUCAAGGUUCAGCAUAUGCAGAUUCAACAUACCCCAAUUCAACAAAUAUGCCAAUUCAACAAUGCAUAAUGGUUUAUCUAUAUCUUUAUCUCAAGAACUACAAUCACAAUAUUUGUCCUUCUUGUUGGAUGAAUUAUUGAUCAUGUUGCUUGUUGGAUGGUUUUAAACUUCUUUGAUACUCACUAUGGAUGAUUGUAAUUAUAACUUUAGAUGUGUUGUGUCUAUAUUAAUAGUGUUGUUAUAAUGCUAAAUGUUAAGAUAAUUAGACAUGUGAUUGAUAAUAUAUUUAUUAAUAGCCUUGAGCUUGA